UUGGCUGAAAUGGGUAUGAUGGAAGAACUCAAAUUUCCCCCAAAGAGGUAUAGCGAUAUAAUUGACGAGAGAGAAUGGUUACAAUUUGUAACUAGUCGUCUAAGUCCAGAGUUUCAAAUAGUGCAUCAAGAACAAAAAAACCGUGCAUUACUAAUGAAGUCAAGGCAUCGAACCUCUCGUAGAGGAAUGGCUAAUAUAAGAGAAGAUUUGAAAAAAGAACGAAAUAUUCAAAAUCCAGAGAGGUAUCAAGUUUGGCUUAGAUCGCGUGAAAAAAAUAAAGUUCUUGUGACAGAGCUAGACCGACAAAUUGCCGAAAAGAUAGAGGACGUCAAAGAAAAAGUGAUUCGUGGCGAAAUUACAGCUCAGGGUUGAGAUGACAUCUUGACUCAAGCAUUAGGGACACCAGAACACCCAGGUCGUGUUCGAGCUGGCGGGUUCACUGCGACCGUUUCCAAAAUGUUUGGAAAAAAAACAUAAAACAAUGACUGCAAGAGAGGAGAUUGCUCGACUAAAAGCUGAGAUUGAAGAGCUAAAAAGACAUAAAUUUAGCACAGAAGAGGAAUUAGCUCAAAAUGAAGAAUAUAAUGAGGAAAACGAUGAGUGUGGAUACAACGAUGAAGGGCAAUUUGAUGAGGGACAAUAUUAUGAGAAUACAAGUGAUGAAGUCUAUCGACCUGCCCCCAACGCAGAUGAUCAUUUUCAUCAAACCGAAGACUAUCCUUUUGAUGAAGAUGAUGGAUCAUCAAUUUAUGAGUCUCCGCCACCACCGACCUAUGAAGUUUAUUUGUGUUCUGAUAAUAUUGACAAUGUGGUGGCUAAAGGUGUACUCAUUGUACCAAACAUGGGUAGCCAAAUUACCGUCCAUGGAAAUGUACUUGAUGAUUCAGUUGCGAGGGUUUGGCUUAUAGAUGUCUUACAAGAAGAAGCUGAGAUCCCUAUUCCCUUUGGUAACGUACGAUAUGUUGGGGACGCACGAGACACAUUCUUGCCUUGGCCUAAAAAUUUAAUUGUGGCUU